rnacentral:snoRNA from 1 species
AGGACUACACUUCUGGGUGUCAUUUCUAUAGUUCACUACUUAAAGGAGUUUCCCCAAGUGUGUAGAGCACUGGAAACCACGGGAAGAGACACAAUGUUCUCUCCGAAUCACAAAGUGGAUCAUGGUGUUGCUUCGCUACAACUGCCAUUUGCCAUUGAUGAUUGUUUUUUUCUUCCUUUGGUGAGAGGAAGAGCAAGAGGACACAGUCUGAGUGAU